rnacentral:rRNA from 1 species
UACGUAGGGUGCAAGCGUUUAAUCGGAAUUACUGGGCGUAAAGCGUGCGCAGGCGGUUUGUAAGUCUGUCGUGAAGCCCCGGGCUCAACCUGGGAAUUGCGAUGGAGACUGCAAGGCUUGAAUCUGGGCAGAGGGGGUAGAAUUCCACGUGUAGCAGUGAAAUGCGUAGAGAUGUGGAGGAACACCGAUGGCGAAGGCAGCCCCCUGGGUCAAGAUUGACGCUCAUGCACGAAAGGCGUGGGGAGCAAACAGG